rnacentral:lncRNA from 1 species
ACGGCAGCCCCCGGCCCGCGCUGCUGCUGCUGCUGCUGGCGGCGGCCGGCGGCCGGGCGGCGGCGGCCAUGCGGCCCCUGCGCUGCCUCCUGGGCGGCGGGGAGAAAGUUUGGCGGCCGAGCCCCGCGGCGGCGUGUCUGGUCCCGGCGGGGUGGGCUGCGGGCAGCCCCGCGGCGCCCGCCCUCCUCCGAGCGCUUCAGGGCCCCCGGGCCGGAUUUUUAUAGGAAAAGUGCCGGCGGCGCAUCCUCCGGGCUCGCAAGAGUUCAGCGCCCUCCUUGCGUCUGCAGGAGUCCCGGCUGCGGAGAUAUAACACCAAAACCGAGCUUUUCAGAUCAGCCCUUUUUCUCUGAAGACACAAGCUUCCUGUGUGAAACAUGUGGGCCUGACCCAGGUGCUGAGGCUGUCGGCAUUGCUGCUUCUGUCAGCCUCCGUGGAGCUGCUUGGCAAGUAACGUGGGCACAGUCUGAUGGUAUUUCGGGAAGCCAGUAGCUCCCCAAAGGGCUUUCCUGUAUUUAGGAAUGAGUUAAAGUUUCACUCUUCAUAUUAAGGAUAUCACAGAGGUCACUUGCUGAUCUCCAGAGGAGACGGGCAGUUGAACUGUGCAGGAGAUAAAAGCACACUGCCAAAUAAUCCACUGAGCAAAUAAUUGGCUGUGCCUUCAGACUGCCGUGAUACCAUGACUGUUAGGAGAAAACAUCGCCGGAAACGUCUGAGAGUGGUAAAAUCUCACAAAAUUAAAUCUCACAAGUUACAGACUCAGGUAUGACAGUCAAAUGCAUGAAGCUGCUUAAUUCUGUACUCUUUACUUGAGAGCUUUUGUAGCAUUUUGCACCAGUACAGAAAUAGGUGGCACCUCAGAGCUACUGCAUUUCAGAGUCUUGCCGAGCGUUUCCAGGAAGCACUCAAAUGAUCAAUGGAGACAUUUUUUUCUCUUCGUCAUAGACAUUUAAUUUUAUGUGUAUUCCAUAUAAACAGGAUUAGGUUUAAUCAACUGUAGUUUUCUUAAGUGUGAGUUAUUUUGCUGUCGUACCUGCGCUAUAAUUUAAUUAAUGUCUCAAUGGAUACUUAAAUCAAUAUCUCUUGGUCCCACCUGCCCUGCUU